GACAGAGCACGGACCUAUUUUUAAAAUUUUGGCAACAUGUACCCCUCUGGCUUUUUAUGAGAAAGACGGAGAACUCCAACAAAUCAUAUUCCCGGAGGACGCAUGCUGCAAUGAGACUUUCAUUAUCAACCACAAAAAAAAAUUAUCUACCAUGAUUUUAUAAUGAAGCCCUCCUUUUCAUUUUAAAGCACGUGCAUUGACGGAAUGAUUAGUGUUGAAGGAUUGUACAUCAUAAAAUCUUUUGUUGCGAAGAAACAUGUCAUUUCCAAAUUUACCAAGUAUGAUGCCUAAUUAAGAUAUACAUUUCUUAGUACCAGUGGAUUUUCUUCAAUUUAUACUCAUCUAACGAUUCCAUGGUUUAAAAUGUUGCAGCUUAUCAAUUCAGCAAUAACAUGCAGCACGGAAAGUCUCAGCCUUCUCUUGUAUUGUAACUUUAAAAAAAAAAAUUAUAUUAUAGUGUGAAUUAAGUGUUGUAAUUGGUAAUGGAAUGAUGUGUAUUUAUAUUUAUGAUUUCAUCCAUAUUUCAUGUAUUAUCAAAUUUGCACAAUGUUUCAA